CUAGGUGUAUUACCUAUGACGGCUCACGAGCCCAACCUGCCCGGGUUUAUUGUUCGGAGUUUGCUCUCCUAGGUGUAUUACCUAUGACGGCUCACGAGCCCAACCUGCCCGGGUUUGUAAUCGGAGUUUGCUCUCCUAGGUGAACUGCUUUCGCUAACGACCUCCACCUGCCCGGGUUUGUAAUCGGAGUUUGCUCUCCUAGAUGAAUUGCUUUCGCUAACGACCUCCACCUGCCCGGGUUUGUAAUCGGAGUUUGCUCUCCUAGAUGAACUGCUUUCGCUAACGAGCUCCACCUGCCCGGGUUUAUUGUUCGGAGUUUGCUCUCCUAGGUGUAUUACCUAUGACGGCUAACGAGCCCAACCUGCCCGGGUUUAUUGUUCGGAGUUUGCUCUCCUAGGUGUAUUACCUAUGACGGCUCACGAGCCCAACCUGCCCGGGUUUAUUGUUCGGAGUUUGCUCUCCUAGGUGAAUUGCCUACCACGGCUAACGAGCCCCACCUGCCCGGGUUUAUUGUUCGGAGUUUGCUCUCCUAGGUGAAUUGCCUACCACGGCUAACGAGCCCCACCUG